AUGAGAAACAUAUCGACGAUCAUUAACCUCCCACACACUAUCCAUCCCUACUUUUCUCCCUUCCUCCCUUCAUCCCGCAACAUACUUUCUGUCCUAUGUGUUGCAUCCAGGGUGGAGGAGCAGAAAUGGGUUUGGGGGAGCUUCAUGAAGAUGGAUUCACAGACGGGGAUGCUUCCAGCCUACGAUGAGAAGACUCCGCCGGCGACCACGCAUCUCCCGACGACUCUGUUCUCCUCAGACGGAGCGAGCAAGACGGACAGAGACAGGCAGAAAGAUAGCAUCGUUCGCCAUGAGGACCCGCCGUCACAUAAACACACUUUCACACACACUUGAGGAUAAGGACAGAUCACAUGGAGGCUCUUUUAUGAGGAUUUUAUCAAUGGUUUUAUAUUUAUUAAGCCUGUUGAAGGAAGUCUUCAAUCUUUCACUUUAAUUGUAAUUAAUUGUACAUAUUUGUAUAUAUUAUGGUUCCUGUUAUAUUAUUAUCACCCUUUUGACCAUUUGCACUAUUACUUGUUCUUUAUUUGCACUCCCCUGUGUGUUCUAUGAGCCUCUCGCACCUGUAAAUUUCUCCACUGUGAGAUUAAUAAAAGUCUAUUCUAUUCUAUUCUAUUCUAUUCUAUUCCAA
rnacentral:lncRNA from 1 species